AACGAUGAUGUCACUGCUUGCAGUGACUGAUUAGUGGCGAACGGGUGAGUAACACGUGAGGAACUUGCCCAUGAGCGGGGGACAACAUUCGGAAACGGAUGCUAAUACCCCAUAGGUGGAUUGGUCGCAUGACGAAUUCAUUAAAGGUGGCUUUGCUACCACUCAUGGAUAGCCUCGCGGCGUAUUAGCUAGUUGGUAAGGUAAUGGCUUACCAAGGCAGUGAUACGUAGCCGACUUGAGAGGGUGAUCGGCCACACUGGGACUGAGACACGGCCCAGACUCCUACGGGAGGCAGCAGUAGGGAAUCUUCCACAAUGGGUGCAAACCUGAUGGAGCAAUGCCGCGUGAGUGAAGAAGGUCUUCGGAUCGUAAAGCUCUGUUGUUAGAGAAGAACACGUGCUAGGUAACUACUAGCGCCUUGACGGUAUCUAACCAGAAAGUCACGGCUAACUAC
rnacentral:rRNA from 1 species